rnacentral:rRNA from 1 species
UACGAAGGGGGCUAGCGUUGCUCGGAAUGACUGGGCGUAAAGGGCGCGUAGGCGGCUCUAUUUGUCAGGCGUGAAAUUCCUGGGCUCAACCUGGGGGCUGCGCUUGAGACGGUGGGGCUAGAGGUCAGAAGAGGCUCGUGGAAUUCCCAGUGUAGAGGUGAAAUUCGUAGAUAUUGGGAAGAACACCGGUGGCGAAGGCGGCAUCCUGGACCGACAUUGACGCUGAACGGCGAAAGCUAGGGGAGCAAACGGG